GAACCAGGUUUCUCCCCAGUAAUCCAGACUCCACUUCAGAGCCAAGAGUUUGAGUACAAGGCACUUGACUUUCUGGAUAAAAGUUCGUCAAGUACUAAACUUUACACCCCCAGCAGAAAAUGUACCCUGGCAGCAAAUGGGUGAAAAGGCUGGAGGAGAAAGUCAUCGCUCCGUUAUUGGCCCUUGGACUCCCCUGGCAUCGCAUGUACAGCAUGAAGUUUUCAGCAAUGAAGGUAUAUUCUAGGCCUAUGUCCUAAUGUCCAGUUUUUUAACAGUUUUGAAAAUAACUGUGCCUUUAGUUUUCCAGAACGAGAACCAAGCCCUGAGGGAGGAGAACCAAGCCCUGAGGGAGGAGAACCAAGCCCUGAGGGAGGAGAACCAAGCCCUGAGGGAGGGGAGCCAUGCACGAGCAGCUUCGGGUGACAGCGGCUCGCUUCAAGAGCAGGUGAAGCUAUUUGGGACAACGCUGAAGAUGUUUGCUCGCACUGGGCAAUCAGGUGCAGAUCAGACCCUAGUGCUGCGACGUCUUGGAGAGUUUGGCGAUGUUGUGCGUAGCAUGGAAAACAAAAUGGACACUAUGCUGCAACAUUUCAGUGCCAAUGUGUCUGUUGGAGAGCUAUCCCUGCCAGGGGAUGUUACUCCCCCUAGACACCCAGGAAGAUUUGGUGUUUCUUGACAGCAUUUUGAGGGAGGAUAAAGAGCUCCAGGAACGAUUUGUGUGUUGCUUUCGUUUAUAAGGCCGUAGGGUAAUCUAAAAAGUCAAAUUAAGUUUGUACACUGUAUAUUCUACAGUCUAAAUCCACAGCCUGUCACAUUUUAUAUUUAUGUAUGAGAAGCUUGCGAGAAAUGUAAUUUAACACAUUUUCAGCUUCGGUUUUUGGCUAUCAAAUGUGGGAGGGACCUGAAGACAACAGUGUGGAGAAUGCUUCAGAGUAUUUUCUCUAAUAACCUUG
ensembl:lncRNA